AUGUAUCUAGGUUUCUAAGCAUUUACUUAGUUCAAGCUUAAGGUGGGUCAAGUCCCACUUUUAAAUCCCGAGAAUACCAAGCUUAGUAACACAUGUAUAGCUUCUACAUGGAAUUAGGCUAAGUCAUCCAUACCUCACCAUAAAGGAUUACUAAUCCUUUAUAGGUCUAUAGGGAAAGUCUCUUCAAGAAUCCUUUCUAAGUUAACCCAACACCAAGG
rnacentral:lncRNA from 1 species